rnacentral:rRNA from 1 species
AUUGAACGCUGGCGGCAUGCCUUACACAUGCAAGUCGAACGGCAGCACGGGUGCUUGCACCUGGUGGCGAGUGGCGAACGGGUGAGUAAUACAUCGGAACAUGUCCUGUAGUGGGGGAUAGCCCGGCGAAAGCCGGAUUAAUACCGCUUACGAUCUACGGAUGAAAGCGGGGGACCUUCGGGCCUCGCGCUAUAGGGUUGGCCGAUGGCUGAUUAGCUAGUUGGUGGGGUAAAGGCCUACCAAGGCGACGAUCAGUAGCUGGUCUGAGAGGACGACCAGCCACACUGGGACUGAGACACGGCCCAGACUCCUACGGGAGGCAGCAGUGGGGAAUUUUGGACAAUGGGCGAAAGCCUGAUCCAGCAAUGCCGCGUGUGUGAAGAAGGCCUUCGGGUUGUAAAGCACUUUUGUCCGGAAAGAAAUCCUUGGCCCUAAUACGGUCGGGGGAUGACGGUACCGGAAGAAUAAGCACCGGCUAACUACGUG